rnacentral:lncRNA from 1 species
GUGAUCAGUCUGUCCGUCCGUCCGUAACACUUUGUGUCCGCUCCAUAUCUAGAGAACCAUUAUGAUUUCAUACUUUAUACUUUACAUGUUUAUUAACCACCACCACAGGGCGUGUCAUGAUGUAUGUACAACUUCCUAGGUCAAAGGUCAAGGUAAAAAAACUUUGGUUUCAGUUGACAACCCUGUGUCCUGUGGUGAAGAUCGUGUCCGCUCUAUAUCUUGAGAACCGUUAUGAUUUCAAAGUUUAUACUUGACAUGUAUAUGAACCAACACCAGAGGGUGUGUCAUAAUUUAUAAACGAC